rnacentral:lncRNA from 1 species
AAAUCCAUAGUUUGGAUUUGGCGUGAAUUUAACAGUACAAUAUGAUACAACCCGAAAAACCAUCCAAACAAGCUUUAAAUUUAUAAAGAGAACUCAAAGGCUCAAGCUUGAACUUUUUCAACCAGAUAGUUAAAUUGCUACCAUUCCAGUCUAGGGCGUAGAAGUGGAAGGAAACGAAGGGAAGAAAUGGAUCAAAGAAAUCAAUAGACGCUCUAAUUACAAAUGGGAUCUUGGUUACAUUCCUUUUUCACUCCAGCCGUGAAUUGGGUCUACGUUCAAAACGUCCAAAAAUACGGUUAGCAAUUCUAAUCUGUGUUCCCUUUUUUUGUUUUUAUCGAAUAUGCAUAGAGAUAUUUGUCUGUCUAUUAAAAUGUAUAUAUGAGCUUAAAGAUUGGAUCUUUUAAUUGACUGGCAGGUUUACUGUUUCUUGUUUGAUUAAUGGGUGUCUAAGGAUUUAGGGAGCUAUAUGGAAAGUAAAUUGAAAAAUUAGUUAUUUGGAUGAAAAGCAAUAUUUGAAUGCAAUUGUUUCCAGUGCUAAAAAGCAAAGCUGGCGGUUACGGAAGCUAAAAACGCGGCGUUUGGUCACAUGUACGAGGAAUUAGNNN